UACGGAGGAUCCAAGCGUUAUCCGGAUUUAUUGGGCUUAAAGGGUGCGUAGGCGGCUUAUUAAGUCAGGGGUGAAAGACGGUGGCUCAACCCUCGCAGUGCCCUUGAUACUGAUGAGCUUGAAUACACUUGAGGUAGGCGGAAUGUGACAAGUAGCGGUGAAAUGCAUAGAUAUGUCACAGAACACCAAUUGCGAAGGCAGCUUACUAAGGUGCAAUUGACGCUGAGGCACGAAAGCGUGGGGAUCAAACAGG
rnacentral:rRNA from 1 species